rnacentral:lncRNA from 1 species
GAGGAUCGAACCCGGGCCACACGCAUGCCAGGCGAGCGCGCUACCGCUUGAGCCACAUCCCAGCCCCUGCUACAGAAACCUUUAAGAACACGGAACUACUUAAUGGGACAUUGUUUCCAUAACUAGGGUAACGGGGCUCUGUUUCUGUGACUGGGGUGACUGGACUAACCGUGAUUGGUUAGGCUUACCACCGCUUGACUGCACUCUCCUGCUUCUGUAACCUGGCUUGCUUGCAUUGGCUAGACCCCCUCGCCCCCCGAACAUCCCCUUUGCGGUUUUCAGGCUUAUAAGGAGCGCCCUUGCAAUUGUUCAGGGCUGAUCAGGGGAACAGCUUUAUGUUGUGGUCAGCCACCACCAGUGUGCUUCAAUAAAGGCUUGAUUCGAUUAUACGUGAGUGGUCUGGAAG